AUGUUUUAUGUUUCGCAGAAACCUCAUAUCAAAUGGAAUUCAAACGGGAUAAAAACGGACGGAGAAUAUUUUUGGAGUAUUUGGAGAAUAUGGGAAGAAAAUCAACGUGAGAUGGUGCCCGAGGGAGGCACGAGGCAGGGGGGGCGCGCCCCUGACCCUCGUGGGCCCCUCGUAAGGUGGUUGUUGCUAUUCUUUUGCCGCAAGAAAGCUAUUUUUCAGAAAAAAAUCUCGGCGGAGGUUUCAGUCCAAUCAAAGUUACAGAUCUCCAUAUAUAUAUAUACGAAACGGAGAAAGGGCAAUCAGGGGAACGCAGAAAUAGAGAGAGACAGAGAGACAAAUCCUAUCUCGGAGGGGCUCUCGCCCCUCCCACACCAUAGAGACCAAGGACCAGAGGGGAAACCCUUCUCCCAUCUAGGGAGGAGGGCAAGGAAGAAGAAGGAGGGGGGGCUCUCUCCCCCUCGCUUCCCGUGGCGCCGGAGUAACACCAGGGGCCAUCAUCAUCACCGCAAUCUUCACCAACAACUUCACCGCCAUCAUCACCAACUCUUCCCCCUCUAUGCAGCGGUGUAA
rnacentral:rRNA from 1 species